UACGGAGGGAGCGAGCGUUGUUCGGAAUUACUGGGCGUAAAGCGUGCGCAGGCGGCCUUGCAAGUCAGAAGUGAAAGCCCCGGGCUUAACCCGGGAAUUGCUUUUGAAACUGCUAGGCUCGAGUAUCGGAGAGGUUGGCGGAAUUCCCAGUGUAGAGGUGAAAUUCGUAGAUAUUGGGAGGAACACCAGUGGCGUAAGCGGCCAACUAGACGAUAACUGACGCUCAGGCACGAAAGUGUGGGGAUCAAACAGG
rnacentral:rRNA from 1 species